ACACGAGGCAGCGUAUUCCUCUUCCUCUCAGAUGGGCCAUUACUGGUUUGAGAAGUUUCGUAAAACACCAUGGAGCCGAACUGAAGCCAAAUGGUAGACAUGUGAAUUGACAAGGGCGACCCCUCCAGAUGAAACGCAGGAAGACUUGGCUUUCUCGAGCCAUGGGAACCGACAGGUAGGCGUCUUUUAGGUCCAAGCGUGUGAACCAGUCGCGUUCGUUCAUCAGAUCCCUCAGAAGGUGAAUACCUUCCAUUUUGAAAUGGC